UAGUCAUAUGCUUGUUUCAAGGACUAAGCCAUGCAUGCCUCAGAAUCACUGCACUGCAGGAAUCUGCGCAUGGCUCAUUACAUCAGACGUAAUCUGCCGCAAAAAUGUUGCGGUCUCCGCAUUAUUGGAUACCUUGGCGAAACGCCAAGCUAAUACAUGAACAAACCGGACGUGCUCCAUACACGCGGUGUUUGGCUUGCCUUGCAUCGUAGUGAGUCGUCCAGCGAAUGAAUGAAAUUAAAACCAAUGCCGCGGACGCGGCAGCAGCACUCAGAAGUGUUGACGCAAUUCAUUCCGUGCGAAAGCUGGUUUACCAGCGUCUUUUGACGAACAACUGCCCUAUCAGCCAGUGAUGGCCGUGUAGUGGACUGCCAUGGCGUUGACGGGAGCGGGGGAUUAGGGUUCGAUUCCGGAGAGGGAGCCUGAGAAAUAGCUACCACUUCUACGGAGGGCAGCAGGCGCGCAAAUUGCCCAAUGUCGAGAAAAACGAUGAGGCAGCGAAAAGAAAUAGGCCUCCCAGGCACUCUGUGCUUGGGAGAUUACAAUGGGGGAUAUUUAAAGCCAUCGAAUAUCGAGUAACAAUU
rnacentral:rRNA from 1 species